GGUAACAUGGCCGAGUGGUCUAAGGCGCUGGAAUUAGGAGGUCCAAAAUAUUGGACAUUACGUAAUCCAGUCCUCCGGGGCGUGAGUUCGAACCUCACUGUUAUCA